rnacentral:rRNA from 1 species
CUCCUACGGGAGGCAGCAGUGGGGAAUAUUGCACAAUGGAGGAAACUCUGAUGCAGCUACGCUCAGCGUGAGUGUAGAAGUAAUUCGUUUUGUAAAUUUCUAUCUAGCAGGUGAAGAUAGUGACGGUACCUGACUAAGAAGCUCCGGCUAAAUACGUGCCAGCUGCCGUGGUAAUACGUAUGGAGCAAGUGUUAUCCUGUGUAUUUAUCUGUGGCUGUAAAUAGAGUGUAGGUGGCCAUGCAAGUCAGAAUUGAAAUUCCGGGGCUCUACCCCGGAUUUGCUUUUAAAUUGUAUGUGCUGGAGUACAAGAGGGGAUGGUUUAAUUUCUAGUGUAGUGGUUGUAAUGUGUUGUUAUUAGGUGGUACACCAGUGGCGAAGG